rnacentral:pre_miRNA from 1 species
AUCUUCUGGUAGUCCUGUCGCAGAUGACUUUCGCCCUUCUAAGGAACCACACUUUCUGUAAAUCUAAUUAAUUUGAAUUCAAUGUGGCAGGACGAGAGUCAUCUGUGACAGGAUAAUGGAAGAU